rnacentral:rRNA from 1 species
UCCUGUGACUAUAUUGGAGGGGAAGCACCCGUUCCCAUUCCGAACACGGAAGUUAAGCCCUCCAGAGCCGAUGGUACUGCGCUGUGAUGGUGCGGGAGAGUAGGACGUUGCAGGGA